rnacentral:rRNA from 1 species
GACGAACGCUGGCGGCGUGCUUAACACAUGCAAGUCGAACGGAAAGGCCCUGCUUUUGUGGGGUGCUCGAGUGGCGAACGGGUGAGUAACACGUGAGUAACCUGCCCUUUACUUUGGGAUAACUUCAGGAAACUGGGGCUAAUACCGGAUAGGAGCUCCUGCUGCAUGGUGGGGGUUGGAAAGUUUCGGCGGUUGGGGAUGGACUCGCGGCUUAUCAGCUUGUUGGUGGGGUAGUGGCUUACCAAGGCUUUGACGGGUAGCCGGCCUGAGAGGGUGACCGGCCACAUUGGGACUGAGAUACGGCCCAGACUCCUACGGGAGGCAGCAGUGGGGAAUAUUGCACAAUGGGCGGAGGCCUGAUGCAGCAACGCCGCGUGCGGGAUGACGGCCUUCGGGUUGUAAACCGCUUUCGCCUGUGACGAAGCGUGAGUGACGGUAAUGGGUAAAGAAGCACCGGCUAACUACGUG